rnacentral:rRNA from 1 species
UACGAAGGGGGCUAGCGUUGUUCGGAUUUACUGGGCGUAAAGCGCACGUAGGCGGAUCGUUAAGUCGGGGGUGAAAUCCUGGAGCUCAACUCCAGAACUGCCUUCGAUACUGGCGAUCUCGAGUCCGGAAGAGGUGAGUGGAACUCCUAGUGUAGAGGUGGAAUUCGUAGAUAUUAGGAAGAACACCAGUGGCGAAGGCGGCUCACUGGUCCGGUACUGACGCUGAUGUGCGAAAGCGUGGGGAGCAAACAGGAUUGAGAA